AAUACAUGCAAGUAAACGCUGAAGGAGGAGCUUGCUUCUCCGGAUGAGUUGCGAACGGGUGAGUAACGCGUAGGUAACCUGCCUGGUAGCGGGGGAUAACUAUUGGAAACGAUAGCUAAUACCGCAUAACAGUAGAUAUUGCAUGAUAUCUGCUUGAAAGGUGCAAUUGCAUCACUACCAGAUGGACCUGCGUUGUAUUAGCUAGUUGGUGGGGUAACGGCUCACCAAGGCGACGAUACAUAGCCGACCUGAGAGGGUGAUCGGCCACACUGGGACUGAGACACGGCCCAGACUCCUACGGGAGGCAGCAGUAGGGAAUCUUCGGCAAUGGACGGAAGUCUGACCGAGCAACGCCGCGUGAGUGAAGAAGGUUUUCGGAUCGUAAAGCUCUGUUGUAAGAGAAGAACGAGUGUGAGAGUGGAAAGUUCACACUGUGACGGUAUCUUACCAGAAAGGGACGGCUAACUACGUGCCAGCAGCCGCGGUAAUACGUAGGUCCCGAGCGUUGUCCGGAUUUAUUGGGCGUAAAGCGAGCGCAGGCGGUUAGAUAAGUCUGAAGUUAAAGGCUGUGGCUUAACCAUAGUACGCUUUGGAAACUGUUUAACUUGAGUGCAAGAGGGGAGAGUGGAAUUCCAUGUGUAGCGGUGAAAUGCGUAGAUAUAUGGAGGAACACCGGUGGCGAAAGCGGCUCUCUGGCUUGUAACUGACGCUGAGGCUCGAAAGCGUGGGGAGC
rnacentral:rRNA from 1 species